AUUGAACGCUGGCGGCAGGCCUAACACAUGCAAGUCGAGCGGAUGAAGGGAGCUUGCUCCUGGAUUCAGCGGCGGACGGGUGAGCAAUGCCUAGGAAUCUGCCUGGUAGUGGGGGAUAACGUCCGGAAACGGGCGCUAAUACCGCAUACGUCCUGAGGGAGAAAGUGGGGGAUCUUCGGACCUCACGCUAUCAGAUGAGCCUAGGUCGGAUUAGCUAGUUGGUGGGGUAAAGGCCUACCAAGGCGACGAUCCGUAACUGGUCUGAGAGGAUGAUCAGUCACACUAGAGCUGAGACACGGUCCAGACUCCUACGGGAGGCAGCAGUGGGGAAUAUUGGACAAUGGGCGAAAGCCUGGUCCAGCCAUGCCGCGUGUGUGAAGAAGGUCUUCGGAUUGUAAAGCACUUUAAGUUGGGAGGAAGGGCAGUAAGUUAAUACCUUGCUGUUUUGACGUUACCAACAGAAUAAGCACCGGCUAACUUCGUG
rnacentral:rRNA from 1 species